rnacentral:rRNA from 1 species
UACCAGCUCUCCGAGUGGUAGGGAUGAUUAUUGGGCUUAAAGCGUCCGUAGCCGGCUUAGCAAGUUUCCUGUUAAAUUCAGCGACCUAAUCGUUGAGCCGCGGGAAAUACUACUAGGCUAGGAGGCGGGAGAGGUCGACGGUACCUCUGGGGUAGGGGUGAAAUCCUAUAAUCCCGGGAGGACCACCAGUGGCGAAGGCUGUCGACUAGAACGCGCUCGACGGUGAGGGACGAAAGCUGGGGGAGCGAACCGGAUUAGAUACCCGGGUAGUCCCAGCUGUAAACGAUGCGGGCUAGGUGUUGGGGAGGCUACGUGCCACUUCAGUGCCGCAGGGAAGCCAUUAAGCCCGCCGCCUGGGGAGUACGGCCGCAAGGCUGAAACUUAAAGGGAUUGGCGGGGGAGCACCACAAGGCGUGAAGCUUGCGGUUC